rnacentral:lncRNA from 12 species
UUGCAUAAUAUCAGGAGUGAGAUUUGGAGAUUCCAGACAUUCAGAUUUGUGUGGAUUUGAAGACGUCUCCGGUGUGUCGGUGCGGUCAGGAUGUACGGGCUGCUGUGUGAAAGUCUUCAUGACUUCAUUAAGUAGUCGUACGGUGAUGACGUGUGGAAAUGUGUCAGAGAGAGAGCCGACGUCAGACUGAAAGACAAAUGCAUUUUUUAAACAUCCAAACUCACAUACAAGAAACAGGCAUUUCAUUUAUAAAAAGUGUUCAUUUAUUACUAAUUCCUUAAAUUAAAUCUAAAAUUAUCAAGUAGAAUGGGAUCACUGUUGCACAAAUAAACAAAUAGUUAUUGUUUCAGAUAAUAAAUGCCUUCACUUGAGGGAUCACCCAUAAUUAUAUUUUCCUAGGUCAAAUGCCAUAUAUAUUUUUUUUUUUUUUACAAAUAUUUUGUACACACAGUUGAAGUUUAAAACAUAUCAGUAUAUUAUAAAAUAUUAUUGGGUUAAUGGGUGAAACUGUCUAUUAAAAUUGUCACAUUNACUAGGAGAAACUGAAUAAAAUGUAACAAUCCACAGGAAAAGUGAUUCACACAUGAUUCAAUUACCUGAAUUUCUCAUAAUAAUUCCUAAUAAAGUCACAGUAGUCCAGUGUUCAGCUGAUGUUCUGUGUUGUUGAUGUGUCUCUGUGUGUUUGGCCAGGAGCAAACGUAAAGGUUGCCUGUACUAUGCCAUGGGUCAGCUCAGACAGAUGGGAAAACAGUUCUACGACACUGACGUGCAUGUUGAGCAGCUGGUGGGAGAUUAUUCACACGUCACCAUGAGAUUAAACUUUGAUAACUCUGUGUACCGAUAUAUCCAGAAAGAAGAUGAAGAGGAAUCGUGUUCAGACAGGACAUGGUUGUGCAUAUCGUAGGCUCUGGAUUGGCAACCGUCUUUCCUGAUCUGGAUGGGAAGAAGAUCAAUGAUGCUUUUCUGCUUGUUCGUCGUCUUGUGGAGUUCACAUGGAAUAUGACUCUGAUUAUGAGAAUGCCAAUCUCUCAGCAGACGUGGAUGUGGAGCUGAUGGCCUUUCAGUCAAUUAUAGGGGUUGAUUAUAAAGAUGGAAACAGAGCUAAUGCAAUGGAGAGCUGGGGUGAUGGUAGCCGCUGCCUGAAACUGAAGGGUCAGAUGAGAUACAUGCAUCUUCCUGGGUACUCCAGUGUAAGACACAAACACACACAUUUAUACAGUGUGGGUGUAAUUUCUGUUCAUUCAAGAAUUUUUGUGUAUGUAAAAUAAUGACAAUGCU